rnacentral:rRNA from 1 species
GUAGGGAAUAUUGGGCAAUGGUCGGAAGACUGACCCAGCCAUGCCGCGUGCAGGAAGACGGCCCUCUGGGUUGUAAACUGCUUUUAUCUGGGAAGAAAAAGGCCAUGCGUGGCAAAUUGCCGGUACCAGAUGAAUAAGCACCGGCUAACUCCGUGCCAGCAGCCGCGGUAAUACGGAGGGUGCGAGCGUUGUCCGGAUUUAUUGGGUUUAAAGGGUGCGUAGGCAGCUGAUUAAGUCAGCGGUGAAAGACUUCGGCUUAACCGGAGCAGUGCCGUUGAUACUGGUUGGCUUGAGUGUCGGAGGGGUACAUGGAAUUGAUGGUGUAGCGGUGAAAUGCAUAGAUACCAUCAGGAACACCGAUAGCGAAGGCAUUGUACUGGCCGACAACUGACGCUGAUGCACGAAAGUGUGGGGAUCGAACAGGAUUAGAAACCCCGGUAGUCC